rnacentral:sRNA from 2 species
AUUCUGCCCAAGCGGAGAAGGAUGAGAAGCUUCGACUAAGGUUCGACUCGAGCGCCAGCGAGAGAGCGUUGCCGCAGGCAACGACC